AGUGAACGCUGGCGGUAGGCCUAACACAUGCAAGUCGAACGGCAGCACAGUAAGAGCUUGCUCUUACGGGUGGCGAGUGGCGGACGGGUGAGGAAUACAUCGGAAUCUACUUUUUCGUGGGGGAUAACGUAGGGAAGCUUACGCUAAUACCGCAUACGACCUACGGGUGAAAACAGGGGAUCUUCGGACCUUGCGCGAUUGAAUGAGCCGAUGUCGGAUUAGCUAGUUGGCGGGGUAAAGGCCCACCAAGGCGACGAUCCGUAGCUGGUCUGAGAGGAUGAUCAGCCACACUGGAACUGAGACACGGUCCAGACUCCUACGGGAGGCAGCAGUGGGGAAUAUUGGACAAUGGGCGCAAGCCUGAUCCAGCCAUACCGCGUGGGUGAAGAAGGCCUUCGGGUUGUAAAGCCCUUUUGUUGGGAAAGAAAAGCAGCAGGUUAAUACCCCGCUGUUCUGACGGUACCCAAAGAAUAAGCACCGGCUAACUUCGUG
rnacentral:rRNA from 1 species